UCUCGUUGGUGACCAGCGGAGGGUCAUUACCGAGUUUACAACUCCCAAACCCCUGUGAACAUACCUAUUUGUUGCCUCGGCGGUGCCUGUUCCGACAGCCCGCCAGARGACCCCAAACCCUGAUUACAUUUAAGAAGUCUUCUGAGUAAACCGAUUAAAUAAAUCAAAACUUUCAACAACGGAUCUCUUGGUUCUGGCAUCGAUGAAGAACGCAGCGAAAUGCGAUAAGUAAUGUGAAUUGCAGAAUUCAGUGAAUCAUCGAAUCUUUGAACGCACAUUGCGCCCGCUAGUAUUCUGGCGGGCAUGCCUGUCCGAGCGUCAUUUCAACCCUCAAGCCCCCGGGCUUGGUGUUGGGGAUCGGCGAGCCUCCGCGCCCGCCGUCCCCUAAAUCUAGUGGCGGUCUCGCUGUAGCUUCCUCUGCGUAGUAGCACACCUCGCACUGGGAAACAGCGCGGCCACGCCGUUAAACCCCCAACUUCUGAACGUUUGACCUCGGAUCAGGUAGGAAUACCCGCUGAACUUAAGCAUAUCAAUAAGCGGAGGAAAAGAAACCAACAGGGAUUGCCCUAGUAACGGCGAGUGAAGCGGCAACAGCUCAAAUUUGAAAUCUGGCCUUCGGGUCCGAGUUGUAAUUUGUAGAGGAUGCUUUUGGUGAGGUGCCUUCCGAGUUCCCUGGAACGGGACGCCAUAGAGGGUGAGAGCCCCGUCUGGUUGGACACCGAUCCUCUGUAAAGCUCCUUCGACGAGUCGAGUAGUUUGGGGAAUGCUGCUCUAAAUGGGAGGUAUAUGUCUUCUAAAGCUAAAUAUUGGCCAGAGACCGAUAGCGCACAAGUAGAGUGAUCGAAAGAUGAAAAGCACUUUGAAAAGAGAGUUAAAAAGUACGUGAAAUUGUUGAAAGGGAAGCGCUCAUGACCAGACUUGGGCUUGGUUGAUCAUCCAGGGUUCUCCCUGGUGCACUCUUCCAGUUCAGGCCAGCAUCAGUUCGCUGUGGGGGAUAAAGGCUUUGGGAAUGUGGCUCCCUCGGGAGUGUUAUAGCCCAUUGUGUAAUACCCUGUGGUGGACUGAGGUUCGCGCAUCGCAAGGAUGCUGCGUAAGACGAC
rnacentral:rRNA from 1 species